rnacentral:tRNA from 1 species
GAGGUGUUAACUUAAAUUUUAAAGUGUCAAAUUUUUAAUUUGAAAAUGUAAUAUGCACACCUUAG